GAUGAACGCUGGCGGCGUGCUUUAACACAUGCAAGUCGAGCGAAGCGCUUAAGUUUGAUUCUUUGGAUGAAGACUUUUGUUGACUGAGCGGCGGACGGGUGAGUAACGCGUGGGUAACCUGCCUCAUACAGGGGAGUAACAGUUAGAAAUGACUGCUAAUACCGCAUAAGACCACGGUACCGCAUGGUACAGUGGUAAAAACUACUGGUGGUAUGAGAUGGACCCGCGUCUGAUUAGGUAGUU
rnacentral:rRNA from 1 species